rnacentral:rRNA from 1 species
AGGGCACAUGAAGGAUGCCUAGGCUCCCGGAGGCGAAGAAGGACGUGACAAGCUGCGAUAAGCCGCGGCGAGGGGCAAAUACCCGUCGAGCCGCGGAUUUCCGAAUGGGGCAACCCGCCGGAAGCGAUUCCGGCAUCCGCGCAUGGCGCGGAGGCGAACCCGGGGAACUGAAACAUCUCAGUACCCGGAGGAGAAGAAAACAACAGUGAUUGCGCAAGUAGUGGCGAGCGAACGCGCAGGAGCCCAAAACCGGCGCCGUUACGGCGGCCGCCGGGGUUGUAGGACCGCCAUCGAAGGCACAUCGGCAGGCUAGGGGAACACAGUGGAAACUGUGGCCGCAGAGGGUGAAGGCCCCGUACCCGAAAGCGAUGCAGACAGCCGAGGCGGCACCUGAGUAGCGCAGGACACGAGAAAUCCGGCGUGAACCCGCGGGGACCAUCCCGCAAGGCUAAAUACUCCCGGGAGACCGAUAGUGGACCAGUACCGUGAGGGAAAGGUGAAAAGAACCCCGAACAGGGGAGUGAAACAGACCCUGAAAUCAUGUGCCUACAAGCGGUCGGAGCCACGUAUUGUGGUGACGGCGUGCCUUUUGCAUAAUGAGCCUACGAGUCACCGGCGCCGGCGAGGCUAAGGGCAAGGAUGCCCGGAGCCGAAGCGAAAGCGAGUCGGAACACGGCGCUGCCAGUCGGCGCCGGUGGACGCGAAACCAAGUGAUCUACCCUUGGGCAGGCUGAAGGCGGGGUAACACCCGCUGGAGGGCCGAACCGGUAAGCGUUGAAAAGCUUUCGGAUGACCUGAGGGUAGGAGUGAAAGGCCAAUCAAACUUGGAGAUAGCUCGUACUCCCGAAAUGCAUUUAGGUGCAGCCUCGGGCGAGUCCCGCGGAGGUAGAGCGACCGAUAGGAUGCGAGGGCUUCGCCGCCUGUCAAGUCCUGACGAACUCCGAAUGCCGCGGGAUGUUGCCCGGGAGUGAGGGCGCGGGUGCUAAGGUCCGCGUCCGAGAGAGGAACAACUCAGACCACCGUCUAAGGCCCCGAAAUCCGGGCUGAGUUGAAGGCAAUAACGAGGUGGGGCCUCAGAGACAGCUAGGAUGUUGGCUUGGAAGCAGCCAUUCAUUUGAAGAGUGCGUAACAGCUCACUAGUCGAGAGGCCCCGCAUGGAUAAUAAUCGGGCAUAAGUCCGGUGCCGAAGACGUGGAAUCCGCCCAGUGGCGGUAUUGGUAGGGGAGCAUUCCCGUAGCCGCAGAAGGCGUGGCGCGAGCCGCGCUGGAGGCCCGGGAAAAGCAAAUGUAGGCAUAAGUAACGAUAAGGGGUGCGGGAAACACCCCCGCCGUAAGACCAAGGGUUCCUGAUCAACGCUAAUCGGAUCAGGGUUAGCCGGGGCCUAAGGGGCAGCCGCAAGGCGGGACCCGAUGGACAUACAGUAAAGAUUCUGUAGCCCCGUGCAGGAGCGAUGUGGAGACGGAGAAGUGACACGCCCGCGUGCUGACGGAAUAGCACGUUGAAGGCCGUAGGUAUACCUUGCGCAGGCAAAUCCGCGCGGGGUGCUGAAAGCCGACAGUACACCGAGCCCCCGGGCAAGGUGACAGCGGCGGUAACCAUGCUCCCGAGAAAACCCGCUAAGCAUAUCCUGUACGGGCCCGUACCGCAAACCGACACAGGUGGUCGGGUAGAACAUACCAAGGCGCUCGAGAGAUCCACGGUUAAGGAACUAGGCAAACUGACCCCGUAACUUCGGGAUAAGGGGUCCUCCCUGCAAGGGGAGGCGCAGAGAAUAGGUCCAGGCAACUGUUUAACAAAAACACAGGGCUGUGCAAAGUUUAAAGAUGACGCAUACAGCCUGACACCUGCCCGGUGCCGGAAGGUUAAGAGGAGAUGUCACCGCAAGGGAAGCAUUGAAUUGAAGCCCCGGUAAACGGCGGCCGUAACUAUAACGGUCCUAAGGUAGCGAAAUUCCUUGUCGGGUAAGUUCCGACCUGCACGAAUGGUGUAAUGAUCUGGACACUGUCUCAACCGUGGGCUCGGUGAAAUUGUAGUAUCGGUGAAGAUGCCGAUUACCCGCAACGGGACGAAAAGACCCCGUGAACCUUUACUGCAGCUUAGCACUGUGACCGGGUGCGCGAUGUGUAGGAUAGUCAGGAGGCAGCGAGCCAUGGACGCCAGUCUGUGUGGAGCCGAUGUUGAAAUACUGACCUUCGCUCAUUUGGUCUCUAACCCGCGGUUGCGGGGACACUGCUUGGCGGGUAGUUUGACUGGGGUGGUCGCCUCCAAAAGAGUAACGGAGGCUUCCAAAGGUGCGCUCAGGCCGAUUGGUAACCGGCCGAAGAGUGUAAUGGCACAAGCGCGCUUGACUGGGAGGCCGACAAGCCGAACAGGUAGGAAACUAGGGCAUAGUGAUCCGGUGGUUCCGCAUGGAAGGGCCAUCGCUCAAAGGAUAAAAGGUACUCCGGGGAUAACAGGCUGAUCCCUCCCAAGAGCUCAUAUCGACGGAGUGGUUUGGCACCUCGAUGUCGGCUCGUCACAUCCCGGGGCUGGAGAAGGUCCCAAGGGUUAGGCUGUUCGCCUAUUAAAGUGGCACGCGAGCUGGGUUCAGAACGUCGUGAGACAGUUCGGUCUCUAUCUGUUGUGGGCGUGGGAGAUUUGCGGGGACCCGACACUAGUACGAGAGGACCGUGUUGGACGGACCGCCGGUGAACCGGUUGUGGCGCCAGCCGCACCGCCGGGUAUCCGCGUCCGGACAGGAUAAGUGCUGAAAGCAUCUAAGCACGAAGCCCCCCCCAAGAUAAGAUCUCCAAUAGGGCCGUCGGAGACUACGACGUAGAUAGGCCGCAGGUGCAGGCGUGGCGACGCGCACAGCCGAGCGGUACUAAUCGCCCGAACCCUUUCCG